CCCUUAGAUGUCCUGGGCUGCACGCGCGCUACACUGAAACUAGCAAAAAGUAUUCUCUGGUUUGAAAAAAUUGGGAAAACUAUUAAACAGUUUCGUGAUGGGAAUAGACUAUUGUAAUUAUUAGUCUUGAACGAGGAAUUCCUAGUAAGUACAAGUCAUCAGCUUGUGCUGAUUACGUCCCUGCCCUUUGUACACACCGCCCGUCGCACCUACCGAUUGAAUGGUCCGGUGAAAUCUCGGGACGGCGGCUUGGUCGCUUGCGUCCGACUGCUGAAACUUGAUUAAACCAUAUCAUUUAGAGGAAGGUGAAGUCGUAACA
rnacentral:rRNA from 1 species